GGUGAGUAAUAACUGGUUAAUCUACCCUUGAGUGGGGGACAACUCCGGGAAACUGGAGCUAAUACCGCAUAAGACCACAGGGGGGCAUCCCCCAGAGGUCAAAGUCUUCGGACGCUCAAGGAGGAGACCAGUCCGUAUCAGGUAGUUGGCGGGGUAACGGCCCACCAAGCCUGCGACGCGUAGCCGGCCUGAGAGGGUGGCUGGCCACACUGGGACUGAGACACUGCCCAGACUCCUACGGGAGGCUGCAGUCGAGAAUCAUUGUCAAUGGGCGCAAGCCUGAACGUGCGACGCCGCGUGUGGGAUGAAGGCCUUCGGGUUGUAAACCACUGUCAGGAGCUAACAAUAAGCGUGUAACUCACGUGAUGAGUUAAACUCCAGAGGAAGUGACAGCUAACUACGUGCCAGCAGCUGCGGUAAUACGUAGGUCGCAAACGUUGUUCGGAUUUACUGGGCUUAAAGGGCGCGUAGGCGGCAGCGUAAGUCAAGGUUGAAAUCCGGCGGCUCACCCGUCGAAGUGGCCUCGAUACUGCGUUGCUAGAAUCAUGGAGGGGUGCGCGGAACUUGUGGUGGAGCGGUGAAAUGCUCAGAUAUCACAGGGAACACCGGAGGCGAAGGCGGCGCACUGGCCAUGUAUUGACGCUGAGGCGCGAAAGCGUGGGGAGCGAACGGGAUUAGAUACCCCGGUAGUCCACGCCGUAAACGAUGUGCACUAGGGAGAGGGAGGCACCUAGCCAUUCUCUCCCCAAGGGAAACCGAUAAGUGCACCGCCUGGGGAGUAUGCUCGCAAGGGUAAAACUCAAA
rnacentral:rRNA from 1 species